GAGGGACACGCUUCCAAACCAUGAAACAAGACAGAAGGAUAAAACUGAUUCUAUAAAAGCAGGAUAAAACAAGGUCAGCAUGGUUCUGUCAAUGUUAAAAGUGGACAGUUUUCUCAGACAAUAAAGGCGCUGGCGCUGUGGAUCCACCA